UAAUGCAAAGCUUUUCAAAAGAAGUGGGGAUUACAAAGAACCCGUUCCUUGGUAGCAAACCUGAGUUUUCCUAGUUAUGAACUUAGUUUCUUCGAAACCGUUAAAGAGUCUAUUUUCAUAAAGAAAGUAGUUUUUGCAUCCCAUCAAUCUCAUAUUUCUUCUCCUUGAUCAAAAUCUUUUCUGGACCUCACCGACAAGAAACCUUUGACAGAGUUUUGAGCUUGUUUACUCUUCUUCUCCCAACCCAAUGCAAGCAUUCAAGUUUAAUCCUGGUUGAAUUUAUAAUUGUUGAGUUGUGGUCAGAAUACCAUCAUUCUCACCUGAGAUUAUAGAACCCUAUAUUUACAAAAAUCAAGUCCCUUCAAAUUUAGUAAUUGAUUUAUUUUCAUGUCUUACACUAUACAACAAUAAAGUUCAUAUGUUUAAUGAUUUUCUUUUUAGGAAGUAUUAUUUGUUCGUCAUUAAAUUUUUAGGAAGGCACCGUUCUAUUUUUAGUCAUUCAUGCUUUUUGGUGUUGGAGGUUGCUGUAGUUCUCGAUUAGGUUAACAUACAUUGCGCAAUUCUCUGUGUUGAGAGGGCCAUGGCCGCUGGUCGAGUUGAAGAGGGGCGUAUGUCUAGGAGUGUAAGUCACGAAGAGCCCUGCACCAGCGCUUCCCAAUGUGAGAGGAAGUCCUUCCAGCAAGCCGACCAGGAACCGUAAAAAUGUCGGGGGAGACGCUGUGCUGGCUCCAAGAAAGAUUGCCCAAUGGAGAUGAGGGGACAGAGAACAAAUGGAGAUGAGGGGACGGAGAACAAUAGACAGUGAGAGAGAGAGGAGGGGACAGAGAAAAAGAGACGGUGAGAGAGAGGAGAAGCGCCUCGAUGGCGUCCUUCAGGUCCCUAAAACCCAUUAUUUUUGAAGAGAGGAGCGGAAACGUUGAGUUCCUAUCUCUCAGACUGCUUGUAUGGUUGAAAGAAUGUUGUUGUUCGACCACAAUUUUCCUUCUAAAAAUAUUCAAGAAUUUCGUGGAAUGUGAGACCUCCUGUUUUUAUCGAUUGCAGUCAGUGCCGGAACCACAUCCACGGAUUGAAUGCCUAUGACAGCCGCAAGAAAUUCAUGGGCGACUGUGGUGUGUUCAGACAGUCUCCGUUCGAAUAAACUCAGGGCAUAUGACAGCGGGCCAGAACGGUAAAAAUGAGGGAUAGGGUCUCCAUGUUGGUGGCUAGAGCAUCGGUUAGUGCAGGCUCGCAGGGCGUUAGGUCUUAUAUUUUUGUUCAGAUUGUGCGAAAAGUUAAAUUAGUUCGAAUUUUGUAAUAGUCCAUUGAAUGUUGUAUUUUUACUAUUAAUAUUUGACAAUAAAGUUGUGAGUUUAUAUUUGGA